UCACGCGACCUUACUACGUUGGAAACACCGAUCCUCGUCUGAUCACUGAAGUUAAGCAACGUCGGGCCUGGUUAGUACUUGCAGGGGUCACCGGCUGGGAAUACCGGUUGUUGCGGCCG
rnacentral:rRNA from 1 species